AACCAAAGGGGGCGAGCGUAAGCAGCUCUCACCGAAGGAGGAGCCUGCGUCCGAUUAGCUAGUUGGUGGGGUAAUGGCCUACCAAGGCGACGAUCGGUAGCCGGCCUGAGAGGGCGAUCGGCCACACUGGAACUGAGACACGGUCCAGACUCCUACGGGAGGCAGCAGUGGGGAAUAUUGCGCAAUGGGCGAAAGCCUGACGCAGCGACGCCGCGUGGGUGAUGAAGGCCUUCGGGUCGUAAAGCCCUGUCUGGUGGAACGAAACGCCUGGCGGCCAAUACCCGCUGGGUUUGACGGUACCACCGAAGGAAGCCCCGGCUAACUACGUGCCAGCAGCCGCGGUAAGACGUAGGGGGCGAGCGUUGUUCGGAUUUACUGGGCGUAAAGCGCGCGUAGGCGGCCAGAUAAGUCGGGUGUGAAAGCCCUCGGCUCAACCGAGGUUCCGCAUCCGAUACUGCUUGGCUGGAGUCUAGGAGAGGAGAGCGGAAUUCCCAGUGUAGCGGUGAAAUGCGUAGAUAUUGGGAGGAACACCCGUGGCGAAGGCGGCUCUCUGGACUAGUACUGACGCUGAGGCGCGAAAGCUAGGGGAGCGAACGGGAUUAGGUACCCCGGUAGUCCUAGCCGUAAACGAUGGGCACUAGGUGUGGGAGGUAUUGACCCCUUCCGCGCCGAAGCUAACGCAUUAAGUGCCCCGCCUGGGGAGUACGGCCGCAAGGCUAAAACUCAAAGGAAUUGACGGGGGCCCGCACAAGCGGUGGAGCAUGUGGUUCAAUUCGACGCAACGCGAAGAACCUUACCAGGGCUUGACAUCCCACGAACCUGCCUGAAAGGGUGGGGUGCCCGCAAGGGAACGCGGAGA
rnacentral:rRNA from 1 species